CACUCCGGUGGCCUAGUGGUUAAAGUGUCCGCCUCGGAUGCUGGAUGUUGUGGGUUCGAUCCACGGUCGAGUCA